rnacentral:rRNA from 1 species
CGGGGGGCUGCAGUAGGGAAUAUUGCGCAAUGGGCGAAAGCCUGACGCAGCGACACCGUGUGAAGGAUGAAGGUCUUCGGAUCGUAAACUUCUGUCAAUUGGGGACGAAGGUAAUAAGGUUAAUAGCCUUUAUUAUUGACGGUACCUAAUAAGGAAGUCUCGGCUAACUCCGUGCCAGCAGCCGCGGUAAGACGGAGGAGGCAAGCGUUGUCCGGAAUCAUUGGGCGUAAAGAGCGCGUAGGCGGUUUUUCAAGUCGUAUGUGAAAACUUCAGGCUUAACCUGAUGAUUGCAUAUGAAACUGGAUAACUUGAGUACAGCAGAGGAAAGUGGAAUUCCUGGUGUAGCGGUGAAAUGUGCAGAUAUCAGGAAGAACACCAGUAGCGAAGGCGGCUUUCUGGGCUGUUACUGACGCUGAGGCGCGAAAGCUAGGGGAGCGAACAGGAUUAGAUACCCCAGUAGUC